CUUAAAUGAAUUGACGGGGCCGCACAAGCGGUGGAGCAUGUGGUUAAUUCGAAGCAACGCGAAGAACCUUACCAGGUCUUGACAUCCCUGACAACCCGAGAGAUCGGGCGUUCCCCUUCGGGGGACAGGGUGACAGGUGGUGCAUGGUUGUCAUCAGCUCGUGUCGUGAGAUGUUGGGUUAAGUCCCGCAACGAGCGCAACCCCUAUUGUUAGUUGCCAUCAUUCAGUUGGGCACUCUAGCGAGACUGCCGGUAAUAAACCGGAGGAAGGUGGGAUGACGUCAAAUCAUCAUGCCCCUUAUGACCUGGGCUACACACGUGCUACAAUGGUUGGUACAACGAGUUGCGAGUCGGUGGCGGCGAGCUAAUCUCUUAAAGCCAAUCUCAGUUCGGAUUGUAGGCUGCAACUCGCCUACAUGAAGUCGGAAUCGCUAGUAAUCGCGGAUCAGCACGCCGCGGUGAAUACGUUCCCGGGCCUU
rnacentral:rRNA from 1 species